rnacentral:rRNA from 1 species
GGGUCAGUAGGUUGGUCGUGCCACCGGUACGUACUGGUCUCACUGAUUCCUCCUUCCUGAAGAACCGUAAUGCCAUUAAUUUGGUGCUGCGGGGAAACAGGACUGUUACUUUGAAAAAAUUAGAGUGUUUAAAGCAAGCUAACGCUUGAAUACAUUAGCAUGGAAUAAUGGAAUAGGACGAUCGAUCCUAUUUUGUUGGUUUCUAGGAUUGACGUA